UAUAUUUGCAACUAUCAAAAAUACAUAAAAAUUAUUAAAAUUAAUAUUGGCAUG
rnacentral:ncRNA from 1 species